AAUGGCAGGCUUGAAUAGGUACUACGUCGCACACGACUUCGUCUUGAUACUUACCGAUAGAAAAGGCGAUGCGCACUUGUUGAGUGACCUUAAAUUGGCCUUCGUUGCUAAGCCCUUGUAGUUGAUAAGGUCGUGGAUGCUUGGUUGUGGUUAAGCAAAGCUUUUCCACCAUUGUCGUGCUGGCUACGUUCGAGCAACUUUCACCAUCAAUAAUAACUCUACAAAGCUUACCUUGUACAUGGCAGCGAGUAUGAAAGAGAUGUUCUCGUUGCUGCUCGCUCUUUGGUUU
rnacentral:lncRNA from 1 species